UACGUAGGAUGCAAGCGUUGUCCGGAAUUAUUGGGCGUAAAGAGCGCGCAGGCGGUUUUACAAGUCAGAUGUGAAAGAGGCCGGCUUAACCGGCAAGGGUCAUUUGAAACUGUAAGACUAGAGUGCGGCAGAGGAUAGUGGAAUUCCCGGUGUAGUGGUGAAAUGCGUAGAUAUCGGGAGGAACACCAGUGGCGAAGGCGACUAUCUGGGCUGCAACUGACGCUGAGGCGCGAAGGCUAGGGUAGCAAACAGG
rnacentral:rRNA from 1 species